GGUUGGUAAUUUUUUUUUAUUUCAUACUUUUCUUUAGGGCUGCUUGUCUUCCUUCUGUACUAUCCUUGAAUUCUCAUGUUUGAGCAAAAAAAUAUACUAACUUUUCACUUAAA